rnacentral:rRNA from 1 species
UUAAAAAGCUCGUAGUUGAAUUUCGGGGUUAGUAAGUUGGUAUGCCUUCGGUAUGUACUGGCUUUACUGAUUCCUCCUUCUUGACGAACCGUGAUGUCAUUAAUUUGGUGUUGCGGGAAAUCAGGACUGUUACUUUGAAAAAAUUAGAGUGUUUAAAGCAGGCUAACGCUUGAAUACAUUAGCAUGGAAUAAUGAAAUAGGACGUUAAUCCUAUUUUGUUGGUUUCUAGGAUCGACGUAAUGAUUAAUAGGGAUAGUUGGGGG